rnacentral:lncRNA from 1 species
UGGCCCUCCAGGUGAAAAGGGUGAGAACGGUGAUGUUGGUCCAAUGGGUCCACCUGGUCCUCCAGGUCCAAGAGGUCCCCAGGGUCCUAACGGAGCUGAUGGUCCUCAAGGUCCUCCAGGCUCUAUUGGCUCUGUUGGAGGUGUUGGUGACAAGGUAAGAAAACUGGUAAUAUUGACACAUAAAAGAGACAUCUCUGAGAUAAGGAGGAGGACAUA